AUCCCGCCGGAGGUUACUGCUAUCGAGGUUCGACUAAGCCAUGCGAGUCGAAUGUAGCAAUACAUGGCGUACUGCUCAGUAACACGUGGACAACCUACCCUUGAGACGGGGAUAAACCCGGGAAACUGGGUAUAAUACCCGAUAGAUCUCGACUGCUGGAAUGCAUCGAGCUCCAAAGCUCCGGCGCUCAAGGAUGGGUCUGCGGCCUAUCAGGUAGUAGUGGGUGUAGCGUACCUACUAGCCUACGACGGGUACGGGUUGUGAGAGCAAGAGCCCGGAGAUGGAUUCUGAGACACGAAUCCAGGCCCUACGGGGUGCAGCAGGCGCGAAAACUUUACAAUGCUGGAAACAGCGAUAAGGGGACCUCGAGUGCCAGGUCACAAAUCUGGCUGUCGUGAUGCCUAAAAAGCAUUGCAUAGCAAGGGCCGGGCAAGACCGGUGCCAGCCGCCGCGGUAACACCGGCGGCUCGAGUGGUAACCGUUAUUAUUGGGUCUAAAGGGUCUGUAGCCGGCCGGAUAAGUCUCUUGGGAAAUCUGGCAGCUUAACUGUCAGGCUUUCAGGAGAUACUGUCUGGCUCGAGGCCGGGAGAGGUGAGAGGUACUUCAGGGGUAGGGGUGAAAUCUUGUAAUCCUUGAAGGACCACCAGUGGCGAAGGCGUCUCACCAGAACGGACCUGACGGCAAGGGACGAAAGCUAGGGGCACGAACCGGAUUAGAUACCCGGGUAGUCCUAGCCGUAAACGAUACUCGCUAGGUGUCGGCCACGGUGCGACCGUUGUCGGUGCCGUAGGGAAGCCGUGAAGCGAGCCACCUGGGAAGUACGGCCGCAAGGCUGAAACUUAAAGGAAUUGGCGGGGGAGCACCACAACGGGUGGAGCUUGCGGUUUAAUUGGAUCAACGCCGGAAA
rnacentral:rRNA from 1 species